AAAUUGAAGAGUUUGAUCAUGGCUCAGAUUGAACGCUGGCGGCAGGCCUAACACAUGCAAGUCGAACGGUAACAGGAAGCAGCUUGCUGCUUCGCUGACGAGUGGCGGACGGGUGAGUAAUGUCUGGGAAACUGCCUGAUGGAGGGGGAUAACUACUGGAAACGGUGGCUAAUACCGCAUAACGUCGCAAGACCAAAGAGGGGGACCUUCGGGCCUCUUGCCAUCAGAUGUGCCCAGAUGGGAUUAGCUAGUUGGUGAGGUAACGGCUCACCAAGGCGACGAUCCCUAGCUGGUCUGAGAGGAUGACCAGCCACACUGGAACUGAGACACGGUCCAGACUCCUACGGGAGG
rnacentral:rRNA from 2 species